AUUGAACGCUGGCGGCAUGCCUUACACAUGCAAGUCGAACGGCAGCACGGGUGCUUGCACCUGGUGGCGAGUGGCGAACGGGUGAGUAAUAUAUCGGAACGUACCUAAUUGUGGGGGAUAACGCAGCGAAAGCUGUGCUAAUACCGCAUAAUCCCUAAGGGGGAAAGCGGGGGACCGUAAGGCCUCGCGCAAUUAGAGCGGCCGAUACCUGAUUAGCUAGUUGGUGAGGUAAAGGCUCACCAAGGCAACGAUCAGUAGCUGGUCUGAGAGGACGAUCAGCCACACUGGGACUGAGACACGGCCCAGACUCCUACGGGAGGCAGCAGUGGGGAAUUUUGGACAAUGGGGGCAACCCUGAUCCAGCAAUGCCGCGUGAGUGAAGAAGGCCUUCGGGUUGUAAAGCUCUUUUGUCAGGGAAGAAACAGCAGCUCUAACACAGUUUGCGAAUGACGGUACCUGAAGAAUAAGCACCGGCUAACUACGUGCCAGCAGCCGCGGUAA
rnacentral:rRNA from 1 species